AAAAACAAAUCUCUCCAGAUAACAUGGAGGCUCCUAGGGCAUUCAUCAUCUUCUGUGACUCCCACUGUGUUUGGCUUGGUGUCAACUUGGAUACCAGCUCCUAGAGGACAGGGAGGGUCUCGGCCACCUCUGCAGCCCUGCAGCUCUGGCAGUAGCUCCCGUGCAUGGCAGACGGACACUGAUUGCUUAGAGAACUGCAUGAAUAAACUAGAGUUGAGAAGAAGUCAUCGGAGAGGAUGAAAGAUGAUCCAGAAAGCAUGGUAUCCUGGACGUCUACGGAAGAAUCUUAAGGAAGAAGUGAUCAACGUUGUCAAAUACUGCAGAGAGAUGGGAACAAAAAAGUCAUCCUGUGCUUUUUGGCUGGGCUGGGAUUCUACAAACUGCUUUUCCCAAAUUCCCAAGCCCAUUUCCUCCUUAUUAUGUUCUGUCAAUGGAAGGUUCUGAUGGCAGAUUGAAAGUAAGAAGGGACCUCUGGUUGCCACCUUCAAUCACCCCAAGGGUGAGGUAUCUUGAUGGACAAUCCUACCUACCUGUAAGAAGUUUGGAGAAGAAAGAGGAACUCAACCAAAAGAAAUUUAGCAUGCUGUUUCCUCAAGAAGGAAGAAUGGAUUAUAGCCAGCAAUUAUAACAAAUUUUCACUACAUUGAACUUCAGAAGCAGUCUUCUGUUGUAAAUUACAAUGCAUUGUGUACUAAAACUUUGAAUAAAAGAACAAUGAUCUUGGGGUGGAAUGCUCAGAGCAAUUUUUCUAAAAGAAGGUUCUAUAUGUGAAGCCUUGUUAUCACUACUUAUGGACUGGGACAGAGCAGGAGGAGUUUCCUAUUCAAUAUUUUUCAUUUGACAAAUAUUUAUUUACUCCGCCCCAGUGAUUCUAAGUCUAAGCCCCAGGGAUUCUGGACUAGGUCAUUUCCUUUAUUCACUGUCACCAACGCAGAGCUCAUGUUGCUUAACAUUAACAACCAGCACAACGGGGUAAGUUGGCCUUUCAGAAAUCCAGAGGGACACCCAUGAAAGUUAAAUAUUAACACAUAUAUAAGUAUAAAACAAUGACUUCACUUUACCUAAUAAAAUAUCACAAUACUAAAUGAAAACAAAGUACAAGUUCAAGCAAGUACAGUGUUUUCUAUUUUCCAAUAAUUUCCUUCAGCUCCCUCUAACACAAGUGCAUUAAACAAUAUUUUAAGAGAAAUGAAUAAGAAUUCUAUUACAUUAAGACAAUUCAUUUGUGUGCCAUUCUUUGUUUUUUUUUUUCAAAAAUGUGUGGGGUUUUUCUUCCCCUGCUUAUAAGAGUAAUGUU